GACGAACCGUACGAACGUUAUUCGGAAUCACUGGGCUUAAAGAGUUCGUAGGCGGCCGUGUAGGUGAGAUGUGAAAUCCCUCGUCUCAACCGAGGAAUUGCGUUUCAAACCACAUGGCUUGAGGAAGAUAGGGGUGAGCGGAACUGAUGGUGGAGCGGUGAAAUGCGUUGAUAUCAUCAGGAACACCAGAGGCGAAGGCGGCUCACUGGGUCUUUUCUGACGCUGAGGAACGAAAGCUAGGGGAGCAAACGGG
rnacentral:rRNA from 1 species